rnacentral:rRNA from 1 species
AUGUAUGUAAGCGUAUUACCGGUGGGAGUUCCAUAUUUGUAUGCUUGUUUUGGAAUGCGAUGUGGCGUCCGUUGUCGUUGACACGAGAAUGCCUUGUUGUUGUCGUUGUCGUGUUUCUCGAUGAUGGUGGCCAUUGUAUUUUUUUUUGUGUCAUCACAUUGGCGUUGUUAUCCUUUCAAACGUGGUAUACAAGUAUACUCCUAAUUUUCUUUUUUUUUUUCAAAAAAGAAAAAGAAAAACCCAUUUCGGUGCUCUUUAUCGGGUGUUGUUGUGGGCCGGUACAAUUACUUUGAACAAAUUAGAGUGCUUCAAGCAGGCUAUGAAAUGCCUGAAUAUUUUGUGCAUGGAAUAAUGAAAUAAGACCUCUGUUCUACUUUCAUUGGUUUUUAGAUCGAAAGAGGUAAUGAUUAAUAGAAGCAGUUUGGGGGCAUUAGUAUUACGACGCGAGAGGUGAAAUUCUUGGACCGUCGUAAGACUAACUUAAGCGAAAGCAUUUGCCAAAGAUGUUUUCAUUAAUCAAGAACGAAAGUUAGAGGUUCGAAGGCGAUCAGAUACCGCCCUAGUUCUAACCAUAAACGAUGCCAGCUAGCAAUUGGGUGUAGCUAAGAUUAUGGCUCUCUCAGUCGCUUCCCGGGAAACCAAAGCUUUUGGGCUCCGGGGGAAGUAUGGUUGCAAAGCUGAAACUUAAAGGAAUUGACGGAAGGGCACCACCAGGAGUGGAGCCUGCGGCUUAAUUUGACUCAACACGGGAAAACUUACCAGGUCCGAACAUAAGCGUGUAAGACAGAUUGAUAGCUCUUUCUCGAAUCUAUGGGUGGUGGUGCAUGGCCGUUCUUAGUUCGUGGAGUGAUUUGUCUGGUUAAUUCCGAUAACGAACGAGACUCAAAUAUAUUAAAUAGAUGCUUGCAGGAUUAUGGUGUUGAAACUUUUAUAGCCUUCAUUCAUUUUGUGGAUGUGUAUGUUUAUGUGAUGGUGGUGUGGUGGUGCUCACUGUUGCCGGUGUUUGUAUUAUGUAGAAAUGUAUGCGGCACGCUCGCGCAUUUUAUAUGCGUGUUGUGUUGUUUGUAUACAUUAUAUAUAUAUAUUCAUUCAUCAUAAUACAGGCGGGUUCAUUCAUCAUCCCCACAUAUAUCAUCAUUUCUCACAUAUGUUUGAAUGUGUUUUAUAGAAGCGGAGCCGUACCUGUUGGUUUGUCCUAAAUAUUCUUUAUAGAGGGAUACUUAGCUCUUAAAUGGACAAAUU